rnacentral:rRNA from 1 species
GACGGAGGGUGCUAGCGUUGUUCGGAAUUACUGGGCGUAAAGGGCGCGUAGGCGGCCCUGUCAGUCGGGUGUGAAAGCCCGGGGCUCAACCCCGGAACGGCACCCGAGACGGCGGGGCUGGAGACCGGGAGAGGAGGGUGGAAUAGCCAGUGUAGAGGUGAAAUUCGUAGAUAUUGGGAAGAACACCGGUGGCGAAGGCGGCUAUCUGGACCGACAUUGACGCUGAGGCGCGAAGCGUGGGGAGCAAACAGG